GCCUAGGUGGUUCAGUGGGUUAAGCAUCUGACUUCAGCUCAGGUCAUGAUCUCAUGGUUCGUGGGUUCGAGCCCCGCAUCAGGCU
rnacentral:tRNA from 1 species